UUAAGUUAUUAAGGGCGCACGGUGGAUGCCUUGGCACUAGAAGCCGAUGAAGGACGUUACUAACGACGAUAUGCUUUGGGGAGCUGUAAGUAAGCUUUGAUCCAGAGAUUUCCGAAUGGGGAAACCCAGCAUGAGUUAUGUCAUGUUAUCGAUAUGUGAAUACAUAGCAUAUCAGAAGGCACACCCGGAGAACUGAAACAUCUUAGUACCCGGAGGAAGAGAAAGAAAAUUCGAUUCCCUUAGUAGCGGCGAGCGAAACGGGAAGAGCCCAAACCAACAAGCUUGCUUGUUGGGGUUGUAGGACACUCUAUACGGAGUUACAAAGGACGACAUUAGACGAAUCAUCUGGAAAGAUGAAUCAAAGAAGGUAAUAAUCCUGUAGUCGAAAAUGUUGUCUCUCUUGAGUGGAUCCUGAGUACGACGGAGCACGUGAAAUUCCGUUGGAAUCUGGGAGGACCAUCUCCUAAGGCUAAAUACUCUCUAGUGACCGAUAGUGAACCAGUACCGUGAGGGAAAGGUGAAAAGCACCCCGGAAGGGGAGUGAAAUAGAACCUGAAACCGUGUGCUUACAAGUAGUCAGAGCCCGUUAAUGGGUGAUGGCGUGCCUUUUGUAGAAUGAACCGGCGAGUUACGAUUUGAUGCAAGGUUAAGCAGUAAAUGUGGAGCCGUAGCGAAAGCGAGUCUGAAUAGGGCGUUUAGUAUUUGGUCGUAGACCCGAAACCAGGUGAUCUACCCUUGGUCAGGUUGAAGUUCAGGUAACACUGAAUGGAGGACCGAACCGACUUACGUUGAAAAGUGAGCGGAUGAACUGAGGGUAGCGGAGAAAUUCCAAUCGAACCUGGAGAUAGCUGGUUCUCUCCGAAAUAGCUUUAGGGCUAGCCUCAAGUGAUGAUUAUUGGAGGUAGAGCACUGUUUGGACGAGGGGCCCCUCUCGGGUUACCGAAUUCAGACAAACUCCGAAUGCCAAUUAAUUUAACUUGGGAGUCAGAACAUGGGUGAUAAGGUCCGUGUUCGAAAGGGAAACAGCCCAGACCACCAGCUAAGGUCCCAAAAUAUAUGUUAAGUGGAAAAGGAUGUGGCGUUGCCCAGACAACUAGGAUGUUGGCUUAGAAGCAGCCAUCAUUUAAAGAGUGCGUAAUAGCUCACUAGUCGAGUGACACUGCGCCGAAAAUGUACCGGGGCUAAACAUAUUACCGAAGCUGUGGAUUGUCCUUUGGACAAUGGUAGGAGAGCGUUCUAAGGGCGUUGAAGCAUGAUCGUAAGGACAUGUGGAGCGCUUAGAAGUGAGAAUGCCGGUGUGAGUAGCGAAAGACGGGUGAGAAUCCCGUCCACCGAUUGACUAAGGUUUCCAGAGGAAGGCUCGUCCGCUCUGGGUUAGUCGGGUCCUAAGCUGAGGCCGACAGGCGUAGGCGAUGGAUAACAGGUUGAUAUUCCUGUACCACCUAUAAUCGUUUUAAUCGAUGGGGGGACGCAGUAGGAUAGGCGAAGCGUGCGAUUGGAUUGCACGUCUAAGCAGUAAGGCUGAGUAUUAGGCAAAUCCGGUACUCAUUAAGGCUGAGCUGUGAUGGGGAGAAGACAUUGUGUCUUCGAGUCGUUGAUUUCACACUGCCGAGAAAAGCCUCUAGAUAGAAAAUAGGUGCCCGUACCGCAAACCGACACAGGUAGUCAAGAUGAGAAUUCUAAGGUGAGCGAGCGAACUCUCGUUAAGGAACUCGGCAAAAUGACCCCGUAACUUCGGGAGAAGGGGUGCUCUUUAGGGUUAACGCCCAGAAGAGCCGCAGUGAAUAGGCCCAAGCGACUGUUUAUCAAAAACACAGGUCUCUGCUAAACCGUAAGGUGAUGUAUAGGGGCUGACGCCUGCCCGGUGCUGGAAGGUUAAGAGGAGUGGUUAGCUUCUGCGAAGCUACGAAUCGAAGCCCCAGUAAACGGCGGCCGUAACUAUAACGGUCCUAAGGUAGCGAAAUUCCUUGUCGGGUAAGUUCCGACCCGCACGAAAGGCGUAACGAUUUGGGCACUGUCUCAACGAGAGACUCGGUGAAAUCAUAGUACCUGUGAAGAUGCAGGUUACCCGCGACAGGACGGAAAGACCCCGUGGAGCUUUACUGUAGCCUGAUAUUGAAAUUCGGCACAGCUUGUACAGGAUAGGUAGGAGCCUUUGAAACGUGAGCGCUAGCUUACGUGGAGGCGCUGGUGGGAUACUACCCUAGCUGUGUUGGCUUUCUAACCCGCACCACUUAUCGUGGUGGGAGACAGUGUCAGGCGGGCAGUUUGACUGGGGCGGUCGCCUCCUAAAAGGUAACGGAGGCGCUCAAAGGUUCCCUCAGAAUGGUUGGAAAUCAUUCAUAGAGUG
rnacentral:rRNA from 1 species